rnacentral:rRNA from 1 species
GCUUACGGCCAUACCACCCUGAACACGCCCGAUCUCGUCAGAUCUCGGAAGCUAAGCAGGGUCGGGCCUGGUUGGUACUUGGAUGGGAGACCGCCUGGGAAUACCAGGUGCUGUAAGCU